rnacentral:rRNA from 1 species
GUGCCAGCAUCCGCGGUAAUACGGAGGGUGCAAGCGUUAAUCGGAAUUACUGGGCGUAAAGCGCACGCAGGCGGUCUGUCAAGUCGGAUGUGAAAUCCCCGGGCUCAACCUGGGAACUGCAUUCGAAACUGGCAGGCUAGAGUCUUGUAGAGGGGGGUAGAAUUCCAGGUGUAGCGGUGAGAUGCGUAGAGAUCUGGAGGAAUACCGGUGGCAAAGGCGGCCCCCUGGACAAAGACUGACGCUCAGGUGCGAAAGCGUGGGGAGCAAACAGGAUUAGAUACCCUGGUAGUCCACGCCGUAAACGAUGUCGACUUGGAGGUUGUGCCCUUGAGGCGUGGCUUCCGGAGCUAACGCGUUAAGUCGACCGCCUGGGGAGUACGGCCGCAAGGUCAAAACUCAAAUGAAUUGACGGGGGCCCGCACAAGCGGUGGAGCAUGUGGUUUAAUUCGAUGCAACGCGAAGAACCUUACCUACUCUUGACAUCCAGAGAAACUUUCCAGAGAUGGAUUG